rnacentral:rRNA from 1 species
UACGUAGGGUGCGAGCGUUGUCCGGAAUUACUGGGCGUAAAGAGCUCGUAGGUGGUUUGUCGCGUUGUUCGUGAAAUUCCCUGGCUUAACUGGGGGCGUGCGGGCGAUACGGGCAGACUGGAGUACUGCAGGGGAGACUGGAAUUCCUGGUGUAGCGGUGGAAUGCGCAGAUAUCAGGAGGAACACCGGUGGCGAAGGCGGUUCUCUGGGCCUGUACUGACGCUGAGGAGCGAAAGCGUGGGGAGCGAACAGG